rnacentral:rRNA from 1 species
UGCCAGCAGCCGCGGUAAUACGGAGGGUGCAAGCGUUGUCCGGAUUUAUUGGGUUUAAAGGGUACGUAGGCGGCCUAUUAAGUCAGUGGUGAAAGCCAGCAGCUUAACCAUAGAACUGGCUUUGAUACUGUUAAUCUUGAGUAUGGUAGAGAUAGGCGGAAUUUAUGAUGUAGCGGUGAAAUGCAUAGAUAUCAUAAAGAACACCGAUAGCGAAGGCAGCUUGUUGGACCAUAACUGACGCUAAUGUACGAAAGUGCGGGUAUCGAACAGGAUUAGAUA